rnacentral:lncRNA from 1 species
GUAACGACCCCAAAAUGGACCGUCACCGGCGCUAGGAUUCAGGUCGGCUUAAGGCCGCCAGAACCCGUAGCAAGCCUGCUAUACUCUCUGUGUACCUGUAAACCUCAUACAUGAUCAUACAUUUUCUGUGAAAAUAAAACUCUUUUCUGAACCAAGGCUUAACCUGUGCAUGCACUAUCUCUGUACUCUGUACUCAUGUACUCUGUACUCUGUAUCCCUGACUAGAGCUUGCUCUAGAUGGGUUCACUCAUACCUGUUAAGCCUGGUUUUUACAUACAGGAAAACAUAUAUACAUAUACAGAUCAUGUACAACACAUACAUCACUAGGUCAAGCAACAACUAUUACAUCUCGUUAAUAUUACAUGUCCACUCUAAGCUCUUACAGAUCUCUUUACUUUUCUUGUACUCUGCUGGACUGUCCCUGUACACUGUACACUGAAUACUGAACCUGCAAAACUGGGGUUAAGGGAGUGGGAUGAGCUCUAUAGCUCAGUGAGUAGAACAGUAAAACAUCUUAGUAAAAUAUGAUCUCAUGGAAUGCACCAUAUCACAGACAAGCCACAUCAAGAGUAAACCUGUCACCACGUAGUCCCAGUAACUCUGUGCCAGGGCGUAGAAUCGAGCACCUGGUCUUCCUGUCAUAUAUGUAUAUGUGUAUAUAACACCUGUGAACUUACCAUUGCCAGGGCAUAGUCAAAGGCUCCUGGACUUUGCUAUACCUGCCAGGGCGUAGUCAAAGGCUCCUGGACUUUGCUAUACGUGCCAGGGCGUAGUCAAAGGCUCCUGGACUUCCUGUCUGAGACUAUUGGAUCAUUCAGCAUUCACUCACAUCACCAAAGAACAAUGCAAUGCAACAUAUUCGUGAAUACUAAUGCAAUCAACCUAUGGCAUAAACAUGAUGCAUGAGAUAUGCUAAAAGCAGUUUGUGGUUCAAUUAAAAGUCAUAAAUUUAGUUUCACUCACCUCUGGCUAUCUGGACUGACUGACUCUGCAGGCUCUGA